AAAAAAAACGAAAAACGAAAAACGAAAAAAAAACGAUAAAUAAAUAAAUAAAUUACUAAAUAAAUAAAUAAAUAAAAUAUAACAAAAAAUAUUGGACUUGGACCUCUCUCUUUUGAGCCCACAAAGUCACAAAAAUCAGGUUAUAAACUCUAGACUUCCAUCUCCCAAAAAACCCUGGGAAAAAGAUAGUAAGAGAAGAGUUGGGAAAAAGAUAGUGAGAGAAGAGCUAACAGAGUUCAGAGCAACCUCCGGAGACUGAAAGGAACUCAUC
rnacentral:lncRNA from 1 species